rnacentral:rRNA from 1 species
CACCGCGGUUAUACGAGAGGCCCAAGUUGAUAAACUCGGCGUAAAGAGUGGUUAUGGAAAGCACUACACUAAAGCCGAAGACCCCCUGGGCUGUUAUACGCACCUGGCGGUUCGAACCACCCACACGAAAGUAGCUUUACCACCUUCCACCAGAGUCCACGACAGCUGGGACA